rnacentral:rRNA from 1 species
AGAGUUUGAUCCUGGCUCAAGAUGAACGCUAGCUACAGGCUUAACACAUGCAAGUCGAGGGGCAGCACGGGGUAGCAAUACCUGGGUGGCGACCGGCGCACGGGUGCGUAACGCGUAUCCAACCUUCCCGAUACUCUUGGAUAGCCUUCCGAAAGGGAGAUUAAUACAAGAUGGUGUUUCACUUUCGCAUGUUAUUGAAACUAAAGAUUUAUCGGUAUCGGAUGGGGAUGCGUGACAUUAGAUAGUAGGCGGGGUAACGGCCCACCUAGUCUACGAUGUCUAGGGGUUCUGAGAGGAAGGUCCCCCACACUGGAACUGAGACACGGUCCAGACUCCUACGGGAGGCAGCAGUGAGGAAUAUUGGUCAAUGGUCGGAAGACUGAACCAGCCAAGUAGCGUGAAGGAUGAAGGUUCUAUGGAUUGUAAACUUCUUUUAUACGGGAAUAAAGCCCGCUACGUGUAGCGGUUUGUAUGUACCGUAUGAAUAAGCAUCGGCUAACUCCGUGCCAGCAGCCGCGGUAAUACGGAGGAUGCGAGCGUUAUCCGGAUUUAUUGGGUUUAAAGGGAGCGUACACGCGAUGUUAAGUCAAUUGUGAAAAGGCUGCGGCUCAACCGCACCACUGACAGAUGAAACUGGCGUCCUUGAGUGCGGUUGAGGUGUGUGGAAUUUGUGGGGUAGCGGGAAAAUGCUUAGAUAUCACGAAGAACUCCGAUUGGGAAGGCAGCACACUAAGCCGCUACUGACGUUGAGGCUCGAAAGUGUGGGUAUCAAACAGGAUUAGAUACCCUGGUAGUCCACACGGUAAACGAUGAAUACUCGCUGUUGGCGAUACAAUGUCAGCGGCCAAGCGAAAGCAUUAAGUAUUCCACCUGGGGAGUACGCCGGCAACGGUGAAACUCAAAGGAAUUGACGGGGGCCCGCACAAGCGGAGGAACAUGUGGUUUAAUUCGAUGAUACGCGAGGAACCUUACCCGGGCUUAAAUUGCAGAGGACAGGCGCAGAGAUGUGCUCUUCUUCGGACCUCUGUGAAGGUGCUGCAUGGUUGUCGUCAGCUCGUGCCGUGAGGUGUCGGCUUAAGUGCCAUAACGAGCGCAACCCUUGCCGGUAGUUACCAUCAGGUUAUGCUGGGGACUCUACCGGGACUGCCAUCGUAAGAUGUGAGGAAGGUGGGGAUGACGUCAAAUCAGCACGGCCCUUACGUCCGGGGCUACACACGUGUUACAAUGGGAGGUACAGAAGGCUGCUACCCGGCGACGGGAUGCCAAUCCCCAAAACCUCUCUCAGUUCGGAUUGGAGUCUGCAACCCGACUCCAUGAAGCUGGAUUCGCUAGUAAUCGCGCAUCAGCCACGGCGCGGUGAAUACGUUCCCGGGCCUUGCACACACCGCCCGUCA